rnacentral:ncRNA from 2 species
GCACGCUCAUUCUACUAAGGUGCCUGCAGUGCAGGAUAAUUGGGAAGUCGGUGAAAAUCCGACACUGCCCCCGCAACGGUGAGGGUGGAAGCAAACAAAACCACUGAAGCGAUUUGGGAAGGUUUGUUUGUGUGGCACGUGCCAUCCGCCCCGAGUCCGGAAACCAGCCUUGGUUAAAUGUAACUU